ACACAAUGAAGCUGCUGGUGGUAACAUAUAGGGCACGGGUGAGACAACUGUUUUUUUAAAUCAUGUCUGUUUUUUAAAAAAAAAACAUGACACAAAGCUGUGUGUGUAAAAGGAUGUCAUGUUGACUUUGAAAGAGGAUAUGCCACAACGCAAUUCAGUUAAAUUUCAGCUAGUAAACCUUGAGGCCAGAAAGGAGACAAAAACUUGGUGCGUCAACGACACAGUCAACAGGUCCUUUUGUGUCUCCGCAGCGCACGCAAGGUGAAGCGCUUUGGACGCACUCAAGCAUACAGAUAAGGACUGCUAACAACACGACAGAGCUCAUGUCUGCUCUACAGCUGAUACUCAGAGGACGCUAUGGUCGGAUGUCUCUUAACUGAGGACAACACAUGAAUACGCUGAACUUGUAAAUUAAGCCACAUGGUUAACAGCACAUAAUGCUUCGAUACGGAUCGCCACCCAAGAGCUGGCUUGGGCUUCGUCUGCGACUAAGUGAGAAGCCUGCACAGGAGGAGAAAACUGGCAUCUUGUGUCAGCAUCCCAACUGUCCCGAACGGCGGCUUGCUUCCAAGGUAACCCGUCAGUAUGUGUCACAGGGAAGCCCUGUAGGGGCGAAGCGAGCUGGUAAAUGUUUACCUCUUAGUGUUUUCGUGGACUCUUAUGGACAAAAAUCCCAGGCAUGCCAAUUGCAUUUAUCACAUGGAAUAUUCCAGCACAAUAAUCAUUUGUCAGCAGGUGUGCUUAGGGAACUGACAGGAAAAACAAAAGUUUUGUUUGUCUUUGUGCUGGUGAGAGGACGGAUAUGAUGUUAUAGGCAACGUUUCACCAGCCUUCUCCUGGGAGGCAUGGAAAAGAGAGAUUACUGUAGAGUAUAUGAGGCUGUUCACAUAUAAACGCGCUUACACAAAACAAAAUAUGUCUCUCCCUUCCUGUUGUUCUCUCUCUCCCUUUAUACACACGGUCUCUCUUCUUAUGUCUCUCUGUUUGUCUGUUUUUGAUUGCACUUUAUUGUCUUCGGACCAUUGCCAAACUGGUUUGACUAAAAAGUCAGUGUAUUCCUUCUUGUGUCCCUCUUUCUUUUAAACAUCAGUCACUCCCAUUUUUUAUCACUGGCAAACCUGGUGCCUAUUCAUUACCAACACUUUCCACUUUUGUAUUUUAACAGGUGCUCCUUUACCUUUAAAAUCAUAGAUUACAAUGCAACCACAAUAUGAAUACUGAUGUAUUGGAUACAGUAACCUUAAAUUGGACAAAUAUAUGUGCCAGUAUUCCCC
rnacentral:lncRNA from 1 species